AGCGUACACGGUGGAUGCCCUGGCAGUCAGAGGCGAUGAAGGACGUGCUAAUCUGCGAUAAGCGCCGGUAAGGUGAUAUGAACCGUUAUAACCGGCGAUUUCCGAAUGGGGAAACCCAGUGUGAUUCGUCACACUAUCAUUAACUGAAUCCAUAGGUUAAUGAAGCGAACCGGGGGAACUGAAACAUCUAAGUACCCCGAGGAAAAGAAAUCAACCGAGAUUCCCCCAGUAGCGGCGAGCGAACGGGGAGGAGCCCAGAGCCUGAAUCAGCAUGUGUGUUAGUGGAAGCGUCUGGAAAGGCGCGCGAUACAGGGUGACAGCCCCGUACACAAAAGCGCAUAUGCUGUGAGCUCGAUGAGUAGGGCGGGACACGUGGUAUCCUGUCUGAAUAUGGGGGGACCAUCCUCCAAGGCUAAAUACUCCUGACUGACCGAUAGUGAACCAGUACCGUGAGGGAAAGGCGAAAAGAACCCCGGCGAGGGGAGUGAAACAGAACCUGAAACCGUGUACGUACAAGCAGUGGGAGCACAGGUUUACCUGUGUGACUGCGUACCUUUUGUAUAAUGGGUCAGCGACUUAUAUUCUGUAGCAAGGUUAACCGUAUAGGGGAGCCGAAGGGAAACCGAGUCUUAAUUGGGCGUUAAGUUGCAGGGUAUAGACCCGAAACCCGGUGAUCUAGCCAUGGGCAGGUUGAAGGUUGGGUAACACUAACUGGAGGACCGAACCGACUAAUGUUGAAAAAUUAGCGGAUGACCUGUGGCUGGGGGUGAAAGGCCAAUCAAACCGGGAGAUAGCUGGUUCUCCCCGAAAGCUAUUUAGGUAGCGCCUCGUGAACUCAUCUCCGGGGGUAGAGCACUGUUUCGGCUAGGGGGCCAUCCCGGCUUACCAACCCGAUGCAAACUGCGAAUACCGGAGAAUGUUAUCACGGGAGACACACGGCGGGUGCUAACGUCCGUCGUGAAGAGGGAAACAACCCAGACCGCCAGCUAAGGUCCCAAAGUCAUGGUUAAGUGGGAAACGAUGUGGGAAGGCCCAGACAGCCAGGAUGUUGGCUUAGAAGCAGCCAUCAUUUAAAGAAAGCGUAAUAGCUCACUGGUCGAGUCGGCCUGCGCGGAAGAUGUAACGGGGCUAAACCAUGCACCGAAGCUGCGGCAGCGACGCUUAUGCGUUGUUGGGUAGGGGAGCGUUCUGUAAGCCUGCGAAGGUGGCCUGUGAGGGUUGCUGGAGGUAUCAGAAGUGCGAAUGCUGACAUAAGUAACGAUAAAGCGGGUGAAAAGCCCGCUCGCCGGAAGACCAAGGGUUCCUGUCCAACGUUAAUCGGGGCAGGGUGAGUCGACCCCUAAGGCGAGGCCGAAAGGCGUAGUCGAUGGGAAACGGGUUAAUAUUCCCGUACUUGGUGUUACUGCGAAGGGGGGACGGAGAAGGCUAUGUUGGCCGGGCGACGGUUGUCCCGGUUUAAGCGUGUAGGCUGACUUUCCAGGCAAAUCCGGAGAGUCAAGGCUGAGGCGUGACGACGAGGCACCACGGUGCUGAAGCAACAAAUGCCCUGCUUCCAGGAAAAGCCUCUAAGCAUCAGGUAACAUCAAAUCGUACCCCAAACCGACACAGGUGGUCAGGUAGAGAAUACCAAGGCGCUUGAGAGAACUCGGGUGAAGGAACUAGGCAAAAUGGUGCCGUAACUUCGGGAGAAGGCACGCUGACACGUAGGUGAAGUGAUUUACUCAUGGAGCUGAAGUCAGUCGAAGAUACCAGCUGGCUGCAACUGUUUAUUAAAAACACAGCACUGUGCAAACACGAAAGUGGACGUAUACGGUGUGACGCCUGCCCGGUGCCGGAAGGUUAAUUGAUGGGGUCAGCGCAAGCGAAGCUCCUGAUCGAAGCCCCGGUAAACGGCGGCCGUAACUAUAACGGUCCUAAGGUAGCGAAAUUCCUUGUCGGGUAAGUUCCGACCUGCACGAAUGGCGUAAUGAUGGCCAGGCUGUCUCCACCCGAGACUCAGUGAAAUUGAACUCGCUGUGAAGAUGCAGUGUACCCGCGGCAAGACGGAAAGACCCCGUGAACCUUUACUAUAGCUUGACACUGAACAUUGAGCCUUGAUGUGUAGGAUAGGUGGGAGGCUUUGAAGCGUGGACGCCAGUCUGCGUGGAGCCGACCUUGAAAUACCACCCUUUAAUGUUUGAUGUUCUAACGUGGACCCGUGAUCCGGGUUGCGGACAGUGUCUGGUGGGUAGUUUGACUGGGGCGGUCUCCUCCUAAAGAGUAACGGAGGAGCACGAAGGUUGGCUAAUCCUGGUCGGACAUCAGGAGGUUAGUGCAAUGGCAUAAGCCAGCUUGACUGCGAGCGUGACGGCGCGAGCAGGUGCGAAAGCAGGUCAUAGUGAUCCGGUGGUUCUGAAUGGAAGGGCCAUCGCUCAACGGAUAAAAGGUACUCCGGGGAUAACAGGCUGAUACCGCCCAAGAGUUCAUAUCGACGGCGGUGUUUGGCACCUCGAUGUCGGCUCAUCACAUCCUGGGGCUGAAGUAGGUCCCAAGGGUAUGGCUGUUCGCCAUUUAAAGUGGUACGCGAGCUGGGUUUAGAACGUCGUGAGACAGUUCGGUCCCUAUCUGCCGUGGGCGCUGGAGAACUGAGGGGGGCUGCUCCUAGUACGAGAGGACCGGAGUGGACGCAUCACUGGUGUUCGGGUUGUCAUGCCAAUGGCACUGCCCGGUAGCUAAAUGCGGAAGAGAUAAGUGCUGAAAGCAUCUAAGCACGAAACUUGCCCCGAGAUGAGUUCUCCCUGAGACUUUGA
rnacentral:rRNA from 1 species